AUGCGCAUGAAUGCAACGACGCGGGGCAAGGCCACCCCGGUGAACCUAGCGCACCACGCCUACUGGAACCUCGGCGGCCACGGCAGCGGCAGCGUCCUCGGCGAGGAGGUCCGCCUUUUCGCCUCCCGGUACACGCCCGUGGACGCCACGCUCAUCCCGACGGGUCACCUCGCGCCCGCGGCCGGCACGCCCUACGACUUACGCAGGCCGGCGACCGUGGGCUCGCGCAUCGGGGGCCUCCUGAGCCGGGGCGUCGAUGGGUACGACAUCAACUACGUCGUGGACGGCGGGGGCCUGGUGGCGGUCGUCCGGGACGGCGCGUCCGGCAGGGCGAUGGAGCUGUGGGCUGACCAGCCCGGGGUGCAGUUCUACAAGGCCAACGGGCUCAGCGGGGUGAGGGGAAAGGGCGGCAAGGUCUACGCUCGGUACGGCGCGCUAUGCCUGGAGACGCAGGGGUUACCCUAUGCCGUGCCCAUGAACCGCCCGAGCUUCCCGUCGCAGAUCGUCCGGCCGAGGAAGGUGUACAGGCAUCACAUGGUGUUCAAGUUCACCUUCUAG
rnacentral:rRNA from 1 species